rnacentral:tRNA from 9 species
GGGGCCGUCGUCUAAUGGUAAGACAUCAGCUUCCCAAGCUGAGAACGCGGGUUCGAUUCCCGUCGGCCCCUCCA